rnacentral:rRNA from 1 species
UACGUAGGGUGCGAGCGUUGUCCGGAUUUAUUGGGCGUAAAGAGCUCGUAGGCGGUCUGUCGCGUCGGAUGUGAAAACCCAGGGCUCAACCCUGGGCCUGCAUUCGAUACGGCAGACGUAGAGUACGGCAGGGGAGACUGGAAUUCCUGGUGUAGCGGUGAAAUGCGUAGAUAUCAGGAGGAACACCUGUGGCGAAAGCGGCUCACUGGACCAUAACUGACGCUGAGGCACGAAAGCGUGGGUAGCAAACAGG